GACGAACGCUGGCGGCGUGCCUAAUACAUGCAAGUCGAGCGGGCCUCCGGAGGUGCUUGCACCUCCGGACGGCCAGCGGCGGACGGGUGAGUAACACGUGGGCAACCUGCCUUUGAGGCCGGGAUAACACCGGGAAACCGGUGCUAAUACCGGAUACGCCCUCUUUCGCGCCUGCGCGAGGGGAGAAAGACGGUCUUUAAGGCCGUCCCUCCAAGCGGGUCCCGCGGCGCAUUAGCUGGUUGGUGGGGCAAGGGCCUACCAAGGCGACGAUGCGUUGCCGACCUGAGAGGGUGAUCGGCCACACUGGGACUGAGACACGGCCCAGACUCCUGCGGGAGGCAGCAGUAGGGAAUCAUCCGCAAUGGGCGAAAGCCUGACGGUGCAACGCCGCGUGAGUGAGGAAGGUUUUCGGAUCGUAAAGCUCUGUUGUGAGGGAAGAACAGCAUCCGGAGGAAAUGCCGGAGGUUUGCCGGUACCUCACCAGAAAGCCCCGGCUAACUACGUGCCAGCCGCCGCAGUAACAC
rnacentral:rRNA from 1 species